rnacentral:rRNA from 1 species
AUUGAACGCUGGCGGCAUGCCUUACACAUGCAAGUCGAACGGUAACAGGUCUUUCGGGAUGCUGACGAGUGGCGAACGGGUGAGUAAUACAUCGGAACGUGCCUAGUAGUGGGGGAUAACUACUCGAAAGAGUGGCUAAUACCGCAUGAGCUCUAUGGAUGAAAGCAGGGGACCUUCGGGCCUUGUGCUACUAGAGCGGCCGAUGGCAGAUUAGGUAGUUGGUGGGAUAAAAGCUUACCAAGCCUACGAUCUGUAGCUGGUCUGAGAGGACGAUCAGCCACACUGGGACUGAGACACGGCCCAGACUCCUACGGGAGGCAGCAGUGGGGAAUUUUGGACAAUGGGCGCAAGCCUGAUCCAGCAAUGCCGCGUGCAGGAUGAAGGCCUUCGGGUUGUAAACUGCUUUUGUACGGAACGAAAAGUCUUGGGUUAAUACCCUGGGAUCAUGACGGUACCGUAAGAAUAAGCACCGGCUAACUACGUGCCAGGCGCCGCAGUAA